rnacentral:lncRNA from 1 species
AGGGCGGGGGACGCGGGGACGCCGGUCCGCACGGCCCGGGGCCCUGGUGCCCCGCCGCCCUCCGACCUCGGGCCCCGACCCGAACCCCCGCCGGCGCGCUGCGACCCCGACGCCGACCCCGGUUCCGGUUCCGCCCAGCCUCGCGGCCGAGGCCGGUAGUCGCAGUGCUCACCGGUACUCGUAGUGCUCGUCGAAGUACUUGUCCGAGUAGUAGAUCUGCUUGUGGGCCAUCGUGCGGGCGGCGGGAGCGACGGGGCGCGAAGAGCGGGCGCAGCGGGCCACACGUCUACGUCAGGCCGAAGCAACGACUCGACUGCGACCAACCGACCGCAGGCCCAACGAUCCCGGUUUGAAUCCGACAGCCCACCGCUGAUUGGACGGAGGCGCCAGCCAAUCACCUUCCACGCAAACUGCCAGUAGGCGGAACCGGCUCCCAGCCUAUCGUCACCGACCCUCCUCGGCGUUGUCUCCCAUGACCAGCCAAUCAGAGACCUGUUGCGGGGUCGCCCUGGGGAAGAAGUGGAUGAUUGGCAAGGCGUGGCGACGGGAAGCUCCCAGACGGGAAGGGGCACGGCCAGGGGAGGGCGGAGCCCGGACGUUAAGGGCCUCAGAGCGCGUGCGCAGGGGUUUAGAACGUUCCAGGUCAACCAGGCCGUUGGGGAGGGCGGACCUGAGGGAAAGGGUGCUGCUGCGUACGCCUGUUCAUGGAGUACGUCUCCAGAAACGCUUUAAAAGUACUCAGCACCGUGCCGCGCUUACACUGCAACCCCUCGUGGCCCUCUGCACGCGCUUGGAUUCAGACUAUGUCUCACAGAUGCCUUUUGACGGUUAAAACCACAGCAACAGCUAUUUGUCCAAAUCCAUUUAGCAAGUGGCAGACUGCCGACUUGAGCCCCAACAGUGAGUCCGCAGUUAGGCCACUUAACUGCUACUGUGUGCUGUUGCUUAUCUUAACAAUAUGGCAUAUGCUGGGGACAGAGUGCACACAUCACGGGAAGGAAAGUUGUGGGAAAUGAAUCUGGGAGGAUGGAUGUCACAGACCUCGAAACAGCUCCCAGAGAUGUCCAUGUCCUGAUCCCUGGAACAUGGAGAUAUGUUGCCUCAACUUGGCAAAAUGGACUUGGCAGAUGUGACAAAGUUACUUCUGGCCUCUAGAACUGUCAGAUAAUAAAUUUGUGUUGUUUUAAGGCA